rnacentral:lncRNA from 1 species
CCAUGCAUUGUUCUCCCUCUAUGUGUGUCUGUGUCCUAGUCUUGUCUUCUUACAAGGACACGUGAUACUGGAAGAAGGCCCGCUCAUAUUUUACCUUAAUUACUUCUUUAAAGGCCCUACCUCCAAAUACAGUCACAUUCUGAGCUCUUGAGGGGUUAAGGCAUAUGCAUUUUUUUAAAGGGGGGGGGACACAAUUCAGUCCAUAACUCACAGUUCAUAAGGGGCAGGACAGAUCUAGGUAACUGCAAAAUUUGUUCUUAUCUACUAGGCUACCGUAUUUGCCUGGGGGAGGGGCAGCUUGACUCCCACAUUCAUCCCAAAACACAGAGUCUGGAAUGAGAAAUGAGCAAGGAAGGAAGGAGAACGUGAAUGGAGUGUGUACCAUGACAGGCCUGUUAACUGGAGUAAUACCCUGAAGGUAAGUUCUAACUUGAAUAGAUCUAGACUGUUUAUAAUGAAACCUGUUACCUUGCAUAAAUUCCACAUUGAGGUCACAAAGGUUGGGAAA